GAUGAACGCUGGCGGCGUGCCUAAUACAUGCAAGUCGAGCGAACAGACGAGGAGCUUGCUCCUCUGACGUUCGCGGCGGACGGGUGAGUAACACGUGGAUAACCUACCUAUAAGACUGGGAUAACUUCGGGAAACCGGAGCUAAUACCGGAUAAUAUAUUGAACCGCAUGGUUCAAUAGUGAAAGACGGUUUUGCUGUCACUUAUAGAUGGAUCCGCGCCGCAUUAGCUAGUUGGUAAGGUAACGGCUUACCAAGGCAACGAUGCGUAGCCGACCUGAGGGGGUGAUCGGCCACACUGGAACUGAGACACGGUCCAGACUCCUACGGGAGGCAGCAGUAGGGAAUCUUCCGCAAUGGGCGAAAGCCUGACGGAGCAACGCCGCGUGAGUGAUGAAGGUCUUCGGAUCGUAAAACUCUGUUAUUAGGGAAGAACAAAUGUGUAAGUAACUAUGCACGUCUUGACGGUACCUAAUCAGAAAGCCACGGCUAACUACGUG
rnacentral:rRNA from 1 species